rnacentral:snRNA from 1 species
AUGCUUGCUUUGGCAGCAUACGAUUUAGAGAAGAUGAGCAUGGCCCCUGCACAAGGAUGACAUGCAAGUUCAUAAAGUGUUCCAUAUUUUU